rnacentral:misc_RNA from 1 species
GGCAUUUGCCAAACGGAAAUCUGUCACCCUUGGUCAGAGGCAGAUACAAAGGCUCGGUACCUCAUGCAAGUUUUGAGAUUGAGGUACCAGUACUAGGAUGAAGAAUAAGACUUGUAGAUUUGCGAGUGAUGGAUGACUAGGAUAGUUCAGUCUAAUGGGUUUUCUGCAUGGAAGGUGUUGUAGUUGGGAUCAACGGUAGGAGGG